rnacentral:tRNA from 1 species
CAGGGAGACAACAAAAUGUUUAAUAUUAUUAUUUUGUCACCUUAGGUCGAUCGGUAUCUCACGUUCUUAGUUUAUUAAGAAUUUCAUUUCCUAAGUUUUUCUAGGUCACACCCAUUAUUUUUCCUGGGCCAUUAGCUCAGGUGGUUAGAGCGCACCCCUGAUAAGGGUGAGGUCCCUGGUUCAAGUCCAGGAUGGCCCAUAUCUCUAUGUUGGGGGUAUAGCUCAGUCGGUAGAGCGCCUGCUUUGCAAGCAGGAUGUCAGCGGUUCGAGUCCGCUUACCUCCACUGAUUACCACCUCUUCCAUAACCGGUAGAAAGGAAAUGUUUUGAGUUGUGAUCAUUAUUCUGAACGAAUCUAGCUUCCUAAUGAAAUCAUUAAGAUGCUGGACUCAUUGAAUUAUUUUCAUUGUUUUCAGAGAACCUUGACAACUGCAUAGAUUAUUUUUAAAGACAAUAAGCAUCUUUAAUGAUGCAGAUUUAUUAUCUGUGCGAAUGCAUUAAUAACAAUUCUAUUAGGCUGAUGCUUCAAUUUUUGAAGUUAUU